AUUGAACGCUGGCGGCAGGCCUAACACAUGCAAGUCGAACGAGUGGCGGACGGGUGAUUAAUGUAUGGGAAACUGCCUCAUGGAGGGGGAUCACUACUGGAAACGGUAGCUACUACCGCAUACCAUAGGAUGUGCCCAGAUGGGAUUCGCUCAUAGGGGGGGUAAAGGCUCACCUAGGCGACGAUCCCUAACUGGUCUGAGAGGAUGACCAUCCACACUGGAACGGAGACACGGUCCAGAAGCCUAGGGGAGGCAGCAGUGUGGAAUAUUGCACAAUGGGCGCAAGCCUGAGACAGCCAUGCCGCGUGUAUGAAGAAGGCCCUAGGGUUGUAAAGGACUUUCAGUCGGGAGGCGUUACCGACAGAAGAAGCACCGGCUAACUCCGUGCCAGCAGCCGCGGUAAUAC
rnacentral:rRNA from 1 species